rnacentral:rRNA from 1 species
GGUGAGGUAAGGCGCUUACCAAGGCGACGACGGAUAGCCGGCGUGAGAGCGUGGCCGGCCACAAGGACACUGAGAUAUGGGUCCUACUCCUACGGGAGGCAGCAGUGCGGAAUUUUAGAUAAUGGAGGGAACUCUGAUCUAGCGACGCCGCGUGCAGGAAGAAGGUCUUCGGAUUGUAAACUGCUGUGGUAAGGGAAAAAUGCUAUGUAGAGUGGAAAGCUACAUAGAGGGAUGGUACCUAACUAGAAAGCCCCGGCUAACUACGUGCCAGCAGCCGCGGUAAUACGUAGGGGGCGAGCGUUACCCGGAAUCACUGGGCGUAAAGGGAGCGUAGGUGGCCUAACAUGUCAACUGUGAAAACCCGGAGCUCAACUCCGGACUUGCAGUUGAAACUGGUAGGCUUGAGGACGGUAGAGGAAGACGGAACUGCCAGUGUAGGGGUAAAAUCCUUAGAUAUUGGCAGGAACGCCGGUGACGAAGGUGGUUUUCUGGGCCGGUUCUGACACUGAUGCUCGAAAGCCAGGGGAGCGAACGGGAUUAGAUACCCCGGUAGUCCUGGCCCUAAACGAUGUUCACUAGGUGUGGGGAGCGGAA